rnacentral:rRNA from 1 species
UACGUAGGGUGCGAGCGUUGUCCGGAAUUAUUGGGCGUAAAGAGCUCGUAGGCGGUCUGUCGCGUCGGUCGUGAAAACUUGGGGCUUAACCCUGAGCUUGCGGUCGAUACGGGCAGGACUGGAGUUCGGCAGGGGAGACUGGAAUUCCGGGUGUAGCGGUGAAAUGCGCAGAUAUCAGGAGGAACACCGGUGGCGAAGGCGGGUGUCUGGGCCGAUACUGACGCUGAGGAGCGAAAGCGUGGGGAGCGAACAGG